UGGGGAAUUUUCCGCAAUGGGUGCAAGCCUGACAGAGCAAUACCGCGUGAGGGAUGACUGCCUACGGGUUGUAAACCUCUUUUCUCAAGGAGGAAGAUCUGACGUUACUUGAGGAAUAAGCAUCGGCUAACCCUGUGCCAGCAGCCGCGGUAAUACAGGGGAUGCAAGUGUUAUCCGGAAUUAUUGGGCGUAAAGCGUCUGCAGGUUGAUAUGUAAGUCUUUUGUUAAAACUUUGAGCUCAACUCAAAUUCCGCAAAAGAAACUAUUUAUCUUGAGUAUGGUAGAGGUAAAGGGAAUUUCCAGUGGAGCGGUGAAAUGCGUAGAUAUUGGAAAGAACACCAACAGCGAAGGCACUUUACUGGGCCAUUACUGACACUCAGAGACGAAAGCUAGGGUAGCAAAAGGGAUUAGAUACCCCUGUAGUCA
rnacentral:rRNA from 1 species